UACGUAGGGUGCGAGCGUUAAUCGGAAUUACUGGGCGUAAAGCGUGCGCAGGCGUUCGUCGUGUCUGAUGUGAAAGCCCCGGGCUCAACCUGGGAAUGGCAUUGGAAACUGGCGGACUAGAGUGUGGCAGAGGGGGGUGGAAUUCCGCGUGUAGCAGUGAAAUGCGUAGAGAUGCGGAGGAACACCGAUGGCGAAGGCAGCCCCCUGGGCUAACACUGACGCUCAGGCACGAAAGCGUGGGGAGCAACAGG
rnacentral:rRNA from 1 species